GGCCAGCAGACUAUGAUGUGAUAUUCUUUCCAAGCACAUAUCUGACUGCUGCAUGAGGAAACAAACUGUUUCUGAGUCUUCUGGCC
rnacentral:snoRNA from 11 species